GAAAGAGAAAGCUUCACCCAUCCCGAGAGGUCAUGUUCAUUAAAAUAAUAAUUAAAAAAGAAAAAAAAAAAAGAGAACCAAGUGCUGACACGAUUCAGAUUCCCCCAGAUGAAGCGGUGUUUUUCCGGUUUAAAUGCGGGAUGAUGAAGCGCUGUCCUCCGUCACCCACGGUCACAUUUACGGGAGAAAACGGUGAUGGAGGGUGAUGAGACCCUGAUCUACCACGGCUCCGACUAUCUGAUGUUUCUUCCUCUUCUCUCGACUCAGGACUCGUCGCCGCUUGAAAAGCUUCUUCCCCAACUCCUGCAAAGAAACGACAGAGACCACUGAUGUUCUCUGGGUGAUAACAGUUCACAGAAAAACUAUGUGUCAGCUCCUACACUUCAAGUCACUGCAACAGUAAACAGGUUUUCUACUGCACUGGAAACAAAAAAACUUCAUCUUGUAAUGUGACCCUGAGUCCAGCAGACUGAUAACACCACAGGAAACGAUCCAUAGACCCAGUUUAUCUCUCGAGUCAAAGAUAAGCAUCAAUCUUUCUGGAAAACACUUACAACUGCUCUGAAGGGAUUUCCAAGAAUCUCAAAGACUAAGCUAGACAGACUAGACGGAUAAGAUUUAAAAUACUUUUAUUGUGUAGAACAAGGAGGGCGAUACAGACAAAUUUAACUAAAAACUGAGCCAUUAUUAUGGAAAUCAGUGUGUUGUUUAUUGAAUGAUAUAAUGGCCUCACAUGGUUUUUGUUUUACAAAAAUAAAACAGACAAAAGUCUAAAAACUGAAUCCAGA